AAAGGCGUAGUCGAUGGGAAACAGGUUAAUAUUCCUGUACUUGGUGUUACUGCGAAGGGGGGACGGAGAAGGCUAUGUUGGCCGGGCGACGGUUGUCCCGGUUUAAGCGUGUAGGCUGGUUUUCCAGGCAAAUCCGGAAAAUCAAGGCUGAGGCGUGAUGACGAGGCACUACGGUGCUGAAGCAACAAAUGCCCUGCUUCCAGGAAAAGCCUCUAAGCAUCAGGUAACAUCAAAUCGUACCCCAAACCGACACAGGUGGUCAGGUAGAGAAUACCAAGGCGCUUGAGAGAACUCGGGUGAAGGAACUAGGCAAAAUGGUGCCGUAACUUCGGGAGAAGGCACGCUGAUAUGUAGGUGAAGUCCCUUGCGGAUGGAGCUGAAAUCAGUCGAAGAUACCAGCUGGCUGCAACUGUUUAUUAAAAACACAGCACUGUGCAAACACGAAAGUGGACGUAUACGGUGUGACGCCUGCCCGGUGCCGGAAGGUUAAUUGAUGGGGUCAGCGCAAGCGAAGCUCUUGAUCGAAGCCCCGGUAAACGGCGGCCGUAACUAUAACGGUCCUAAGGUAGCGAAAUUCCUUGUCGGGUAAGUUCCGACCUGCACGAAUGGCGUAAUGAUGGCCAGGCUGUCUCCACCCGAGACUCAGUGAAAUUGAACUCGCUGUGAAGAUGCAGUGUACCCGCGGCAAGACGGAAAGACCCCGUGAACCUUUACUAUAGCUUGACACUGAACAUUGAGCCUUGAUGUGUAGGAUAGGUGGGAGGCUUUGAAGUGUGGACGCCAGUCUGCAUGGAGCCGGCCUUGAAAUACCACCCUUUAAUGUUUGAUGUUCUAACGUGGACCCGUGAUCCGGGUUGCGGACAGUGUCUGGUGGGUAGUUUGACUGGGGCGGUCUCCUCCUAAAGAGUAACGGAGGAGCACGAAGGUUGGCUAAUCCUGGUCGGACAUCAGGAGGUUAGUGCAAUGGCAUAAGCCAGCUUGACUGCGAGCGUGACGGCGCGAGCAGGUGCGAAAGCAGGUCAUAGUGAUCCGGUGGUUCUGAAUGGAAGGGCCAUCGCUCAACGGAUAAAAGGUACUCCGGGGAUAACAGGCUGAUACCGCCCAAGAGUUCAUAUCGACGGCGGUGUUUGGCACCUCGAUGUCGGCUCAUCACAUCCUGGGGCUGAAGUAGGUCCCAAGGGUAUGGCUGUUCGCCAUUUAAAGUGGUACGCGAGCUGGGUUUAGAACGUCGUGAGACAGUUCGGUCCCUAUCUGCCGUGGGCGCUGGAGAACUGAGGGGGGCUGCUCCUAGUACGAGAGGACCGGAGUGGACGCAUCACUGGUGUUCGGGUUGUCAUGCCAAUGGCACUGCCCGGUAGCUAAAUGCGGAAGAGAUAAGUGCUGAAAGCAUCUAAGCACGAAACUUGCCCCGAGAUGAGUUCUCCCUGACCCUUUAAGGGUCCUGAAGGAACGUUGAAGACGACGACGUUGAUAGGCCGGGUGUGUAAGCGCAGCGAUGCGUUGAGCUAACCGGUACUAAUGAACCGUGAGGCUUAACCUUACAACGCCGAAG
rnacentral:rRNA from 1 species